AUGCCAGAAGAAUGGAGACGGAGUACAUUAGUACCAAUCUUCAAGAACAAGGGGGAUGUUCAGAGUUGUACUAAUUACCGUGGAAUUAAGCUGAUGAGCCAUACAAUGAAGCUAUGGGAGAGAGUCAUUGAGCACCGCUUAAGAAGAAUGACAAGCGUGACCAAAAAUCAGUUUGGUUUCAUGCCUGGGAGGUCGACCAUGGAAGCCAUUUUCUUGGUACGACAACUUAUGGAGAGAUAUAGGGAGCAAAAGAAGGACUUGCAUAUGGUGUUCAUUGACUUGGAGAAGGCCUGUGAUAAGAUACCGCGGAAUGUCAUGUGGUGGGCCUUGGAGAAACACAAAGUCCUAGCAAAGUACAUUACCCUCAUCAAGGACAUGUACAAUAAUGUUGUGACAAGUGUUCGAACAAGUGAUGUCGACACCGAUGACUUCCUGAUUAAGAUAGGACUGCAUCAGGGGUCAGCUUUGAGCCCUUAUCUUUUUGCAUUGGUGAUGGAUGAGGUCACAAGGGGUAUACAAGGAGAUUUCCCAUGGUGUAUGCUCUUUGCGGAUGAUGUGGUGCUAGUUGACGAUAGUCGGACGGGGGUAAAUAGGAAGUUAGAGUUAUGGAGACAAACCUUGGAAUCGAAAGGGUUUAGGCUUAGUAGAACUAAAACCGAGUACAUGAUGUGCGGUUUCAGUACUACUAGGUGUGAGGAGGAGGUUAGCCUUGAUGGCCAGGUGGUACCUCGGAAGGACACCUUUCGGUAUUUGGGGUCAAUGUUGCAGGAGGAUGGGGGUAUUGAUGAAGAUGUGAACCAUCGAAUCAAAGCCGGAUGGAUGAAGUGGCGCCAAGCUUCUGGCAUUCUCUGUGACAAGAGAGUGCCACAAAAGCUAAAAGGCAAGUUCUACAGGACGGCGGUUCGACCCGCAAUGUUGUAUGGCGCGGAGUGUUGA
rnacentral:rRNA from 1 species